AAAUGAAUUAAAUUAUAAUUUGAGCAAUACUCUCUCCGAAUUUAACACAUCCAUCAUUAUCUUGAUGAGGCCAAUAGCCUGUAAGAAUUAAAUCAACAUUUUGAACACAAAAGAAAAUACCUUCCUCAUCACUAAGCCAUCUAAUGGAAGGCAUCUAUUCCAUUUUAUCUUUCUUAUGAAGAAAAAAGAAAAGAUGAUGCAUACAAUUAAA
rnacentral:misc_RNA from 1 species